rnacentral:rRNA from 1 species
UGGAGGCAGCAGUGGGGAAUCUUGCGCAAUGGGGGAAACCCUGACGCAGCGACGCCGCGUGCGGGAUGAAGGUCUUCGGAUUGUAAACCGCUUUUCUCGGGGACGAUAAUGACGGUACCCGAGGAAUAAGCCCCGGCUAACUCCGUGCCAGCAGCCGCGGUAAGACGGAGGGGGCAAGCGUUGUCCGGAAUUACUGGGCGUAAAGCGCUCGUAGGCGGUCGCAUACGGCGGUGGUGAAAGCUCCCGGCUCAACUGGGAGAGGCCCGCCGCAACGGUGCGACUCGAGGGUGGUAGAGGCAGAUGGAAUUCCUGGUGUAGCGGUGAAAUGCGUAGAGAUCAGGAGGAACACCAAUGGCGAAGGCAGUCUGCUGGGCCACACCUGACGCUGAGGAGCGAAAGCCAGGGGAGCGAACGGGAUUAGAAACCCUAGUAGUCC